rnacentral:rRNA from 1 species
CCUACGGGGGGCUGCAGUGGGGAAUAUUGGACAAUGGGGGCAACCCUGAUCCAGCCAUGCCGCGUGUGUGAAGAAGGCCCUCGGGUUGUAAAGCACUUUCAGUGAGGAAGAACGCCUGGUGGUUAAUACCCAUCAGGAAAGACAUCACUCACAGAAGAAGCACCGGCUAACUCCGUGCCAGCAGCCGCGGUAAUACGGAGGGUGCGAGCGUUAAUCGGAAUUACUGGGCGUAAAGCGCGCGUAGGUGGCUUGAUAAGCCGGUUGUGAAAGCCCCGGGCUCAACCUGGGAACGGCAUCCGGAACUGUCAAGCUAGAGUGCAGGAGAGGAAGGUAGAAUUCCCGGUGUAGCGGUGAAAUGCGUAGAGAUGGGGAGGAAUACCAGUGGCGAAGGCGGCCUUCUGGACUGACACUGACACUGAGGUGCGAAAGCGUGGGUAGCAAACAGGAUUAGAUACCCUAGUAGUC